ACGAACGCUGGCGGCGUGCUUAACACAUGCAAGUCGAACGGAAAGGCCCUGCUUUUGUGGGGUGCUCGAGUGGCGAACGGGUGAGUAACACGUGAGUAACCUGCCCUUGACUUUGGGAUAACUUCAGGAAACUGGGGCUAAUACCGGAUAGGAGCUCCUGCUGCAUGGUGGGGGUUGGAAAGUUUCGGCGGUUGGGGAUGGACUCGCGGCUUAUCAGCUUGUUGGUGGGGUAGUGGCUUACCAAGGCUUUGACGGGUAGCCGGCAUGAGAGGGUGACCGGCCACAUUGGGACUGAGAUACGGCCCAGACUCCUACGGGAGGCAGCAGUGGGGAAUAUUGCACAAUGGGCGGAAGCCUGAUGCAGCAACGCCGCGUGCGGGAUGACGGCCUUCGGGUUGUAAACCGCUUUCGCCUGUGACGAAGCGUGAGUGACGGUAAUGGGUAAAGAAGCACCGGCUAACUACGUG
rnacentral:rRNA from 1 species